CCAGCAAACCUGACUUUUAUUAUUAUUAUUAUUAUUUANUAUGGAGGUUCCCAGGCUAGGGGUCGAAUCGGAGCUGUAGCCACCGGCCUAGGCCAGAGCCACAGCAACGCAGGAUCCGAGCCGCGUCUGCAGCCUACACCACAGCUCACGGCAACGCCGGAUCGUUAACCCACUGUGCAAGGGCAGGGACCGAACCCGCAACCUCAUGGUUCCUAGUCGGAUUCGUUAACCACUGCGCCACGACGGGAACUCCAAACCUGACUUUUAAAUUCGAACACACCCCUGAGCCCUGGACGUUCCCCUCUUGCCAUUAUGACAUGUGGGGUGAAGGUGGGAGGAGGCCUCCGUCUGGCAGAGGCCCCUUUAAAAAUGUACCCGGGUUCCUCCUCUGCCAACCAAGUUCUAAAAAUAUUACUCCAGCAAAAGCUGAAAUAUUUGCAGAGAAAACUGAAUUUCCUGCUACCCUCACCCCCUCCACUCAAAUGGGCCUGCUGCCAUCCUUCUCCCUCAACUGUGGGGGCCAGCGAAGACAGAGGAGAUGUUUUGAAAUCUGAAGAGUCAAGGAGGAUAACUGCAGCACCGAAGGCCAGCAGGUUAACAGAGUGAGGUAGCCUGCUGCCCAAAGCAGCCUGGCCCAGCAUUCCACGGUGCUUCUGUCCCCUUUCCUUGUUCAUCUAUUCAAGAAUCAGAGGUUCAG
rnacentral:lncRNA from 1 species